AACGGCGAGUGAAGCGGCAAAAGCUCAAAUUUGAAAUCUGGUACCUUCGGUGCCCGAGUUGUAAUUUGGAGAGGGCAACUUUGGGGCCGUUCCUUGUCUAUGUUCCUUGGAACAGGACGUCAUAGAGGGUGAGAAUCCCGUGUGGCGAGGAGUGCGGUUCUUUGUAAAGUGCCUUCGAAGAGUCGAGUUGUUUGGGAAUGCAGCUCUAAGUGGGUGGUAAAUUCCAUCUAAAGCUAAAUAUUGGCGAGAGACCGAUAGCGAACAAGUACAGUGAUGGAAAGAUGAAAAGAACUUUGAAAAGAGAGUGAAAAAGUACGUGAAAUUGUUGAAAGGGAAGGGCAUUUGAUCAGACAUGGUGUUUUGUGCCCUCUGCUCCUUGUGGGUAGGGGAAUCUCGCAUUUCACUGGGCCAGCAUCAGUUUUGGUGGCAGGAUAAAUCCAUAGGAAUGUAGCUUGCCUCGGUAAGUAUUAUAGCCUGUGGGAAUACUGCCAGCUGGGAUCUGAGGACUGCGACGUAAGUC
rnacentral:rRNA from 1 species